rnacentral:lncRNA from 1 species
UAGAGUUAAUUGUUGAAUAUAGUCCGUUCAUACACACAAAAAUACUCCUCAAAUCUCGAUAUGAUGAUGUUCUUUUCAAAGCUAGUUCUUCUGAUUUCCCUUAUGUUAAUCGCAACUGGUAACUCUCUCUCCCCUUAACUUAUGCAAAAUAAAUACGACGAUCCAGUUUUUAAUUUUUAUUAUACUCUAAGUUGCUAUAAAAAUAAAUUAUUGCAGGUCCAAUGGUGGAUGCAAAGAAACCACUUCCAUUUUGCGAUGUUACUGCAGAUUGCCUCCCAAUAUGUCAAAAAUUCCAUUGUUUUAUUUGUGGCUGUAGUGCUGGAAUAUGCGUUCGUGGCUGCCCCCCACCCUCAAGGAAACUACUCUCUAUUCAUUCCAACAAUCCAAAUAAUUGAUUAAUUUGUUAUAAUCCAACUUAUUUUCUAAUAAAAAUAAGAAAAUAAGUUGUUUUUUUUACAUCUAUAUAUAAUAUCAAUGAAUAAAAGAUCAAAGUUAAUGCUGCACAUUUUAUUUUCCUUUGCGUGACAAUAGUCUCAAAAAUAUUGGAACGAGUAUAUUUUAAUGAAUGUUGUUAUUUUUAGGAUUUGUAGAGAGUUUACUUCAAUAUUGAACGAUGACGAUAUAUCUUAAUUGAGAAAAACAGAAACUAUGGAAUAUCCAUGAUUUAUAAUAUAUUAAAUAUCACAAGAGUUGAGAAUUAUUUUAUAGACUAUUUUAUUUAGAGUAAUGCCAUGUUACCCAAUUAUUGAUACUAAGCAUCAGUCUAUAUGUCAAUUAAGUGAUUAGAUAUUUUAAAUUAGACUCAUAUCCUUUACUUUAAGAUAUCCAAACAUUUUAGUAGUCGCUCACUGCGAUAGUCGUCCUACGUGGCAUACAUAUGACAGAUGAUUAUUUGAUGCAUUAAUGUGGUAGUUUUUUUAUUCAUUAAUGCAUCAAAUAACCACAUACCAUGUGUAUGCCAUGUAGGUCGACUGCUGCAGUGAACGACUGCAAAUAGCAUUAUUCAGCAUUUUAAUAUUGACAUCACUAAUACUUUAAGUCUAACAAUUUAAUAGCAAUGUUUGAGAAAUAAUUUUAGAUAAUAUUGACAUCACUAAUAUUUAUAAUUUGUGUGUGCAUACAUAAUAUUAUAGUUCGCUAUUCGUCAUUCAAUUAAUAUUAUUUUGACUACAAUUAAAUAAAAAUAAUAAUUGUGAAUUCGAUAAUGUAACGGUUACUAUUUCUGAUUGACUUUAUGGUUACUUAAAAAAAUGUGUUGAAUUUUUCACCUAUAGUGUUUAAUGCUAUUAAUAAUGUGUAAUAUAUAUUGUUAUGUGGAAUAUAUAACAAAAUGGCAGUUGUUGCUCUGAUGCUUUCGAUUUUAGCAGUACAUCUAUUUAAUAAAAAUCCCAUGGCCUUGAAAUUUUUCGAGAGUUAAUUCUUUGCACUUUCAAGAUCAUCUGGAUUUUUUAUUUUUUAUUUAUUUAUUUUUUCUGUACACAUAUUUCCUGCAAGUCCAGUUUGGAAGAAAACAUGAUUCAUUUGGUGGCCAACAUAAGUAGACAAAACUUGACACAAUUUUUGGUGGUUCUUAUUUAUUUUCAUAUAGGUAGCUUUGAAAUGAUGAAAAAAAAAUCAUGUUGUAAACAAAGUUUAGCUGAUUGAUGAUCGUAGGAUUUGAGGUAUGUUGCAAAUGUAUCAAUUGGUGAUUUCUUGAAAGUAAUCUCGUCAACAUAUCCCCUUGAAGAUCUUACAUUUGUGCACUCGUGGUUAUAAAUUUAAUUUAAUUGAAAAAAUUUCUCAUGUUUAUCUUAAUAUUGACAAUGCUGAUGUUGUAAAUGUAUCAUAAUUUUCAUGUUUAUUUUAAAAGGGAUAGUAAUUGAUGGAUGGAUUGAACUAUGUUUUAACCGUCAUACUUUUAAGUAAAAGAAUCUGAAUAUUAAUGGAAUGAAAAGCUUUUUUCUUAGUAAGGGUGAAAUAUUAAUUAGGCUUCCCUUCGAGGGUUGAACAUCAAUGAGAUUUGACUCAAGAAUGGAAAUAAUUGUAUACUUGUCUAGGAACUAUCGAACAAAAGGAAAUCUUACAGGUAAUUAAAUGCGAUUAACGUACACAAACCAAGCAUAUCUAAAAUAGUCACACUUAACGCAACUAACUUUUUCGUAACUUGCUGCAAUGUCAUUUUACAAGGUUCAUCUCAAUAACCAAAAUGAAACCCUAAACCCAAAAGCCGCCGCAGAGGAUCAAAAGUAAAGACUCAAGCUUUACGUUGCUAAUGCCCAUUUUUUUAAUUAGAUUUUAUUUUAUUCUCGAAAAGCAUUUCAAAUGCUUUUUUUUUUUUUUUUUAAUUUUGAUUGUGUUGGAUUUUGAUACCCAAUAUAUAUCGGACAACAAUAUUAAAAUGUUGUUUGAUUAAUUAUGUUGAAACCAUAGUGGUUGGCUCGACUCGAAAAUAAUUUGGACCGUUAGAAGAAGCUAAUUAAUUAAGGUUACUCAUGGCCCAAUUCACUUAAGAUGGCCCAAGUGUGUUAGCCCAAAUUUGUGCUUAGUAUUGGUUUUGGUUGUUUGCCCAUUUCAGGCCUUUGUCUAGGUUUAGUGUCUUUGGCCCAACUUGACAAAUGACCUAAACUAAUCUAUACAAGCUCCCAUUUGCCUAUGGCCGUUUUCUUGUGAUUUGAGUGUGUUUGCAAUAGAGGCAAAAAAGUGGCAGCCGUCUUGAUUCAUUUGAGUUCAACUAUUCCUUUUUCCACCAUUUACCUUAAUCCUUUGUGGCAGCCGAAGUGAAGUGAUGUUGUGGUUUCGGUUGUUGUUUGUUGUUGAUUUAAACUGAGCCCAGUUUCACAGAUGGUUAAAAAUUGCACCAAAUAGCCCUUUGCAACUUGGAGUUAAUAGUUGUGAAGAAAAAUUCGAGGCAAAGGUAUUUCGGUGCUACAGAAAUUUUGUAUUUUGGCAAGAGUUUUGAUUGAAUUAAGGUUUAUUCAUUCAGCUAUAUUUUGCCCUUACUAUAAGCUGUAAACAGCAAGUAAAGCAAAAUGAUGAGAAUUCAUAAGCCGAAUUUCAAUGUGGGGUUGUAAUUAUUAUGGUUUUUCAAAGUUCUCUGAUUGCUUUGCUUUGUUUGAUUAAUUGUUGAAUUUUGAUGAUAUGAAAAUUAUGUUAUGGCCUUUGUUUCCUUUCAAGUUAUUAACAAGAAUUAUAGGUUUUGAAUAUGGAUUCCUGUAUAUAUAUAUAUAUAUAUAUAUAUAUAUAUAUAUUUUAUUUUAUUUUUUUCUUUUUUUUUAUUUGCACUUAAUUCUUAUCUUUGUGUAGCUUAAACCAAUGUGAUCUUUUCAAGAAGAGGCCAUGUUUUUGGUGUUGCAAAGGGCAAAGCAAUAUGAUGAAAACUUGUAUAUUCUGAAUAAUAUGUGGAAAUACAUAUUCAAUGGUCUUCAAAGUUCUCUGAUUGCUUACUGAUUCUUGACAUUUAUAGUUGCCUUGCCAUCUAUUUUUCUUUCUAUUUUAGUGGGUAGGUUAAAAUUUUGGGUUGGGAAAAGAAAGAGUUGAAGCCAGCACCAAAAUACAUGGUCUGUUUUAAAUUUCUAUUCAGACUACACGAGCAUGGUGCUAUAUUAAAACAUUUCUUCAAUGAUUGCCAAUUGAGUGUGUUUGUGUCAAAUGGCAAAAUCGUUUUGACGAUGAAGAAAAAAGAUUUAAAAUUUUGGCACCUAAUGUGGUGAGGAUUUGCGGCUAUAUUCGACGGGGAUUGAUAGUAUGGUCCUUGUUUUGAAUUUGUCACGAAUUUUACUAUUAUAAUACCCUCUUUGCCUUAUUGCAUCAUUUGUUUCCCGAUAAUCCUUGUUGUGGCGAGAGAUGGGGAGGGAUAUCUUGUCCCACCCCGUUGCCAUCCACAUAGAAAUUAGCAACUAUUACAACAUGAUGUUUAGAGCGUGAAGAUUCAACAAAAAUCGUUUCUUUUGUAACUAUUUUUAGACUUUAAUUGAAUCAGUAGUCAAUGUUUUUUAACAGUUUGAUUCGUCGAACAAGGAUUUCCUUCUCGGGAAUUUUGUGUUUAUUUUAAUGUCGAGUGGUAAGUAUGGGUGAUUCUAAAAGUUUGAGUCAGCACGGGCGGCCGUUGACUAUUUAUCGUAGAUCGCAAUAAAAUAUUAAGAGUUUGUUUGAAAUCAAUUUUUUGCCAAAAAAAAAAAAUGAUUUUUUAAUAGUGAUUUAAUGGAGAAUGUGUGGCUAAAAAAUAAAAAUAAAAAUUGAAUUUGUAUUUAAUAUUAUUUUAUUGAAGAAUACGUGGUUGAAAAGAAGAGAUAAAAAAUGUAUUUGAAAAAAAAUAGGAAUCAAAUAAGGCUUAAAGUUUAAAUUUUAAUAAUUAUUUUGUUCAAAUUGAAUAUAUGUAAUUUUGUUCUAAGAAUAAAUGGACUCAUCUAAAGACGUUGUUGUUAAGUUUUAUAUAUUUUAAAGGAAGAGCACGAAUCCAAAUUUUUAUAAUUGCACUCGCAUUAAAACAUGUAGAACUUAACAAAUAUUAUUUUGUUAAAUUUAUUGGCAAUAAUCAAUGGGUGACAUAACGGUGAGGUUUAUACUAUAUCUAACAAAAGGUCACAAGUUCAAAUUUUUGUUUGGUCCCCUACUUUCUUGAAUUUUGGCAAAAAUUGUUGUAUUUAAAUAUUAUUGCACAAUUGUUUGUUGGUAAAAAAAAUUCAAACUCGGGACCUCCACUAUAUACAUUCAGCGUCUGACCAAAUGAGCCACAAGAAGUAUUUGAAAAUGAACUGAAUAUCAGUAAUCUAAUCUAAAACUUUAAUCUAUUGCCAAAAAAAAAAUAAAAAAUAUGCGAUUUCAACGAAUCUAGGUAGGGUGGUUGCACCACCACUCGUGGUUAGUGUACAAGUCUACAAGUUAUGAUUGAAAUUCGUCAGAGGCUAACAACUUUUCCAACUAAUGGUAUAUUUGAGAGAAUUAAUUUCUCAAAUAAAGUAGAGAACAUCAAAUUGGAAGGUUAUUUCUAUAAGAAAAUUUUUUUAAAGAAAAAAAAGGAGAAAAUUCAAAGUUAAUUCAUAACGUUUAUUUUCCAUCAAAGUUAGUUACUUAAAUUUACUAAUGGCUUAAAAUUAAUUAGUUGAUUAAUUAGACUAAGCAACAAAAUCAUCGUUCUCCCCCAUUCGCGAAGAUAAUCUAUUGCAAGAUGAAUGAUUGUAGCCGCAGUUCUAUAUAUGGUCACCUUAAUAUAAUUUGCUAAUUGGAAUCGAUUAGGGAUUAAUGUGGUCUAAACUAAAGCCGGACAAUGUUGGAAUCAAUUAGGGAUUAAUAUAAUUUUGUUAAUUGGAAUCAAUUAGGCAUUUUAACAUUAGUUUAUAAUUUGUACUUGAAUUUCUUAGCACUUAGGGCAUCUCCAAUGUAAACCUCAAAUCAUCUAAUUGCACAAUUUUUUGGUGCAGUUGCUCCAAUGCAAAACUAUACUUUGCAUUAUUUUGUUGCAAAAUGGUGCAAAGUGGUAAAAGUCUAUUUUGUCCUUUUUUUCUCCUUUUUCAAAUAAUUGAUGAAGGGUAGUUGUGUUAUUUGUGCUAUAUAUUUUUCAAUACAAUAAAUUUUUAUUAUUUGCAUUUAAAAUAAAUUAUGAAUGCAAGAAAUAAUAAUUAAUAAAUUAAUUAAAAGAAGAAAAAAAUUUAAAAUAUAACAAACACGAUUUUUUAUUAAAGUUAAGAUAAAAUAUAUUAAACAACGAUAUACAUAUGAUAAUAUAAUUUUAUUUAAACAAAACAAUACAUAAAAUUCGAAAUGUAUUAAUUGAUCAUUUGUGGGAAGAAUGUAUGAAUUCCGAGAAUUAAAUUGAAAAAAUUUUGUGAUUUCGAAAUAUUGUAAUUUCUAAAUUCGAAAUGUAUUAUACUAUUUUCUGAUGGCAUAAUUUAUGAUUUUCGUUGCUGUAGUGUUUUUAUUAAUUGUAAUAUUUUUUAUAUUUAUUAAUGAAUUUAAUCUUUUUCAUAAUUUAAUGUAAUUAUUUAUUUAGUAAUUUAUGUAUUCUUAAAAUAAUCAAAUAAAUAAAUUAUAAAGAAUAAAAAGGGGAAGAAAAUGGUUAAACACCGUUCAUUUGGUGUAAUGAUUGGAGAUGAAUUUUAAUUUGGUACAAAAUUUUGUACAAAAUGGUUCAAAAUUUAGUGCAACGCUGGAGAUAUCUUUAGUACUAUGCCUAUAUGGAUAAAGUCUACGUAGGACAGGAGGCGGCCACCACCUUCUGCUCAUCAUCUCAAGAACUCACAUAAUGGACAAAGAGUUUAGUCUCAGAACCUUGGGAGAAACUAAUGUGCAACAGAGUUAUUCUAUUUAUAGUCGUCCACUGUAAUAGUCGUCUUAAGUGAUGUCUUCUACAUGACGGUUUUGAUUUGAUACAUUAAAAUAGUAGUUCUUUAUUGUUUAAUGCAUCAAAUCACUAACCGUCACAUAUAUCUUAUAUAUGCGACUACGAUAGUCAGUGAUUACAAAUAGUGUUAUUCUAUGCUAUUCCAACUUAUAUGUUGGAGAAAUAAAUUAGAAUUUAUUUUAUUAUUUUAUUAUUAUUAUUUUUUUUGGGGUAAUGAAAUAAAAGUCCAAAGCUUAUGGUGUAUUUCUUAAUUUUCAUUGUUUACAUCACAUUUUAUUGUUAAGGCCGACUUCAAAUAACUUUCAAAAAAUUAAGCCCAAUUUGAUCCAGUUAAAAUUUCAAAUUAAAGUCAACAACUACACAUUUUAUGAAAUUAAUUAUUUUUCAAUCAUAUAUUCCAUCACUUUUAACCUAAUAGGAAAUAAGUUUCAUGCUAUAUAAUUAAAAAAAUAUGCUAUUAAAUCUUUUAGUAUCAAAUAAUUAUUUCAUAGAUAUGUCUUUCUAUCUCUUUAUAAUUUAAACAAUUUACAAAAACUUUCCAAAGAUGUUCCUAUGAGAGAUAUAUGUAGAUGAAAUAUUCAAUUAAAAAUUGUUUGCAAUUUGCUAAUUCUAAUCAAUUAGAACAUUGUAUGUAAGGUAGGGAAGCACGAAAAUGAAAAGGAAAUUAUGACAAUUAAAAUUGAUUUAGAUAAACCUUUACUUCUCUCAACUCUAAUUAAAUGCAAAUCUAGAAUUAUCUUUUGGAGGGUAUUGCCUCUUUUUAUCAUUGAUCUAUAACCAAUACUUAAAUUUGCCAAAAUUCUAACAAAAUAGAAAUGACUUAUCGUAGAACCAAUUAACUUUUGAUUCCGCACGCGGCACCCCCCAUUUGAGCAAAAUCUCCGGUCUUUCCCUUAUCAAUCUCUCUCAGAGGGAAAGAGGAGCAGAUAUUCAUUACUCCAAUCAACUUAAGGUGCUCAGUUCAACAUCGUUACUUUUGAAUUUAACUCUGACAAGUUCUUAAUAUCCUAACGAUCAAAUAACCCAAUUUCUUGGAAUUAUUUGAACUCAUUAUAAUAAUAAUUUUUAUUUUUUACAUCAUGAGAUUAAAUUAUUGGAACACCUCACUGAAGUUAUGAAGUGAUUAAAUUCUAAAUAUACUUACUGGUUGAGAAUGCAAAAAUAUUAUUCAUUUCGGUAAGAAAUCGAGAUGCUUUGAAGUUUGAACCGAACUUCAAAUCAUUUGACAACUAAUCGAUGAUUUAAUGUCAAACGACAUACUUAGUUGAGUAGAAAGGGACUUGGUUGACCAAAUCGGCUUACAAACAUCGACCAACGGAUUUAAGAAGAAUGGUUGGAGAUUUAUAUUCAGGUUAAAGAGGCAUGACCAAAUAAACAUUCAAGGUUAACCUACCCAAGAAACGAAGGAAAAUAAUAAUAAUAAUAAUGUUAUUUGCGAUCGUUCAUUAUUGUAGUUGUCCUAUGCGGCAUGAAUGUGAUGGUUAGUGAUUUAAUAUAAUAUUAUGAUAAUUUUUUAUUAUCUUAUGCAAUAAAUUAUUAACCGUCACACAUAUGCAACGUAAAGCAACUGUAAAUAGUAUUAUUCAAAAAAAGGUCAAUCUAUUUAAGAAAUAAUAUUUUCUUUCCAUUUUCAUUCUUCGCCUACUUUCCUUGUAUUGGUUCCUAAUUGUAUCCAAUUAAUAAAUACCCAAAUAUUCAUUCGAAAUUCAAAAUCAUAUUAUCUGCUUAGAUGAUAUCAACUAAGAUUUUGAUAGAUUUUAAAAAAUUAUAAAUUCUAAUAAAUUUCCUAGAUUUGAAUAGAUUUUCAUCAAUUCUAUAAGAAUCUCAUUAAAAAUGGUAAAAAUUCAAAAGAUUUUGGUAUAUUUAUUUUUAAGCUAGAAAUCUAUUCAAAUCUUCUAAAAUUCCUCAGCCAACAAAAUCUCUAUAAAUUCACUAGUUAUUGAAAAUACUUAAUUUUUAAAGGAUUUUAUAGUAAUUCAUUAAAUCUUCGUUGGGGACACCUGAAAUUUAGUGAAUUUCAUUAAAAUUUAUUAAAAUCUCAAUUUGAACACCUAAAUUUAGAAGAAUUUUUAAAAUCCAUCAUAACAUCAGACACUCUCCUUCAUCUAUAAAUAUUUCUCACAAUGUAUACCACAUUAGUAGAGUUAACUGUUCAAUAUAGUCAGUUCAUACACACAAAAAAUACUCCUCAAAUCUCGAUAUGAUGACGUUCUUUUCAAAGCUAGUUCUUCUGAUUUCCCUUAUGUUAAUCGCAACUGGUUUCUCUCUCUCUCUUUAGUAUUGGUGCUUAAUUUAUGCUAAAUAAAUAUGACAAUCCAGUUUUUAUUUUUUUAUUAUACUUUGAGUUGCUAUGAAAAUAAAAAUAAAAAUAAUUAUUGCAGGUCCAAUGGUGGAUGCAAAGAAACCACUUCCAAAUUGCGAUGUCACUGCAGAUUGCCUCCCAAUAUGUCAAAAAUUCCAUUGUGGAUUCUGUGCCUGCCUUAGUGGAAUCUGCGUUCGCGGCUGCCCCCCACCCUCACCCUCGAGGAAACUACUCACUAUUUCAUCCCAGCAAUACAAAUAAUUGAUUAAUUUGUAAUAAUCCAACUUAUUUUAUGAUAAAUAAGUUGUUGUUUACAUCUAUAUAAAUAAUCAAUGAAAUAAAAGUUGAAAGUUUAUGUUGCACAUUUUAUUCUCC